UCCAAACAAAAAGAAAUAAAUGUCGUCAUACUGGGGAGGAGAUGCGAGGGACAAAAUUCUUGAUGCUAUUGAUGAUCUGAAGCUCGACUCUUUGGUCAUGGGAAGCAGAGGACUUGAAACUGUUCAAAGGUAC